ACGGGUGAGUAACACGUAGGUAACCUGCCUUUAAGACUGGGAUAACUAUCGGAAACGAUAGCUAAGACCGGAUAACUGAUUUUCUCGCAUGAGAGAAUCAUAAAACACGGAGCAAUCUGUGGCUUGAAGAUGGGCCUGCGGCGCAUUAGCUAGUUGGUGAGGUAACGGCUCACCAAGGCGACGAUGCGUAGCCGACCUGAGAGGGUGAACGGCCACACUGGGACUGAGACACGGCCCAGACUCCUACGGGAGGCAGCAGUAGGGAAUCUUCCGCAAUGGACGCAAGUCUGACGGAGCAACGCCGCGUGAGUGAUGAAGGUUUUCGGAUCAUAAAGCUCUGUUGCCCUAGACGAACAGCAAGGAGAGUAACUGCUCUUUGUGUGACGGUAUAGGAGAAGAAAGCCCCGGCUAACUACGUGCCAGCAGCCGCGGUAAUACGUAGGGGGCAAGCGUUGUCCGGAAUUAUUGGGCGUAAAGCGCGCGCAGGCGGUCAUUUAAGUCUGGUGUUUAAUCCUGGGGCUCAACCCCAGUUCGCAUCGGAAACUGGAUGACUUGAGUGUAGGAGAGGAAAGUGGAAUUCCACGUGUAGCG
rnacentral:rRNA from 1 species